AGAACGAACGCUGGCGGCAUGCCUAAUACAUGCAAGUCGAACGAACACUUCGGUGUUAGUGGCGCACGGGUGCGUAACGCGUGGGAAUCUGCCCUUGGGUUCGGAAUAACAGUUGGAAACGACUGCUAAUACCGGAUGAUAUCGAAAGAUCAAAGAUUUAUCGCCCAGGGAUGAGCCCGCGUAGGAUUAGCUAGUUGGUGAGGUAAAGGCUCACCAAGGCGACGAUCCUUAGCUGGUCUGAGAGGAUGAUCAGCCACACUGGGACUGAGACACGGCCCAGACUCCUACGGGAGGCAGCAAGUAGGGAAUAUUGGACAAGUGGGCGACAAGCCUGACUCAGCAAUGCCGCGUGAGUGA
rnacentral:rRNA from 1 species